AGAGUUUGAUCCUGGCUCAGGAUGAACGCUAGCGGCAGGCUUAACACAUGCAAGUCGAGGGGUAACAGAGGUAGCUUGCUACUUGCUGACGACCGGCGCACGGGUGGGUGAGUAACGCGUAUGCAACCUACCUUUUACAGGGGGAUAGCCAGAAGAAAUUCUGAUUAAUACCCCAUAAUAUUAUAGUCCGGCAUUGGAUUAUGAUUAAAGUUUCGGCGGUAAAAGAUGGGCACGCGUUACAUUAGUUAGUUGGUAAGGUAAUGGCUUACCAAGACAAUGAUGUUUAGGGGUUCUAAAAGGAAGGUCCCCCACACUGGUACUGAGACACGGACCAGACUCCUACGGGAGGCAGCAGUGAGGAAUAUUGGGCAAUGGGUGAGAACCUGACCCAGCCAUGCCGCGUGCAGGAUUACAGCCCUAUGGGUUUUAAACUGCUUUUAUACGGGAAGAAAAGUAGCUACGUGUAGCUAUCUGCCGGUACCGUAUGAAUAAGCAUCGGCUAACUCCGUGCCAGCAGCCGCGGUAAUACGGAGGAUGCAAGCGUUAUCCGGAUUUAUUAGGUUUAAAGGGUGCGUAGGCUGAAAAUUAAGUCAGUGGUGAAAUCUUGUAGCUUAACUACAAAACUGCCAUUGAUACUGGUUUUCUUGAGUAUAGUUGAGGUAGGCGGAAUGUGUAGUGUAGCGGUGAAAUGCAUAGAUAUUACACAGAACACCAAUUGCGAAGGCAGCUUACUAAACUAUAACUGACGCUGAUGCACGAAAGCGUGGGUAGCGAACAGGAUUAGAUACCCUGGUAGUCCACGCCGUAAACGAUGAUUACUCGUUGCAUGCGAUACACUGUAUGUGACUUAGCGAAAGCAUUAAGUAAUCCACCUGGGGAGUACGUUGGCAACAAUGAAACUCAAAGGAAUUGACGGGGGCCCGCACAAGCGGAGGAACAUGUGGUUUAAUUCGAUGAUACGCGAGGAACCUUACCUGGGCUUAAAUGUAGAUUGCAUAGAUUAGAGAUAGUCUUUUUCUUCGGAACUAUUUACAAGGUGCUGCAUGGUUGUCGUCAGCUCGUGCCGUGAGGUGUCGGGUUAAGUCCCAUAACGAGCGCAACCCCUAUCGUUAGUUGCUAGCAGGUAAUGCUGAGGACUCUAGCGAGACUGCCACCGUAAGGUGAGAGGAAGGUGGGGAUGACGUCAAAUCAGCACGGCCCUUAUGUCCAGGGCUACACACGUGUUACAAUGGCAGGUACAAAGGGCAGCUACACAGCGAUGUGAUGCUAAUCUCUAAAGCCUGUCCCAGUUCGGAUUGGAGUCUGCAACCCGACUCCAUGAAGUUGGAUUCGCUAGUAAUCGGAUAUCAGCAAUGAUCCGGUGAAUACGUUCCCGGGCCUUGUACACACCGCCCGUCAAACCAUGGAAGCUGGGGGUACCUGAAGUCUGUGACCGCAAGGAGCGGCCUAGGGUAAAACUGGUAACUAGGGUUAAGUCGGAACAAGGUAGCCGUAAAGGGCGAAU
rnacentral:rRNA from 1 species